rnacentral:piRNA from 1 species
UGAGGUUUGCGGCCUCUGGCUUCUAAAGGG